AAAUAUUUUUAAGAUACCUGCUCAAUGAAUUUUUUAAAUACCCGCUUUAGUGCUAAGGUAGCAUAAUAAUUAGUUUUUUAAUUGAAAAAUAGAAUGAAUGGUUUUACUAAAAUUGAUAUUUUAAAAUAAUUAAACAAAAUUUUAAUUUUAGUGAAAAUACUAAAAUAAUAUUUUUAGACGAGAAGACCCUAUGAAGCUAAAAAUCACUAUAAAAAUUAUAAAUUUAUCAGAUUUAUUUUUUGGGGAAAAAAUUAAUAAAUAUAUUAAUAAUCAUUUAUAAAAACUUAUCCUUCUAGGAAUGUUGAAAAAGCUCCUCUAGGGAUAACAGCAUAAUAUUUAUUAGAGUUCUUAUCAGAAUAAAUGUUUGUGACCUCGAUGUUGAAUUAAAUAUUUUUAUAUGUGCAGGAGCUUAUAAAAAAAGGUCUGUUCGACCUGA
rnacentral:rRNA from 1 species